rnacentral:rRNA from 1 species
ACUCCUACGGGAGGCAGCAGUAGGAAUAUUGGUCAAUGGGCGAGAGCCUGAACCAGCCAUGCCGCGUGCAGGAAGACGGCCUUCUGGGUUGUAAACUGCUUUUAUCAGGGAACAAAAGGCCAUGCGUGGCAAAUUGCGUGUACCUGAAGAAUAAGGACCGGCUAACUCCGUGCCAGCAGCCGCGGUAAUACGGAGGGUGCAAGCGUUAAUCGGAAUUACUGGGCGUAAAGCGUGCGCAGGCGGUCUGUUAAGCGAGAUGUGAAAGCCCCGGGCUCAACCUGGGAACUGCAUUUCGAACUGGCAGACUAGAGUCUUGUAGA